UACGGGGGGGCAAGCGUUGUUCGGAAUUACUGGGCGUAAAGGGCUCGUAGGCGGCCAACUAAGUCACACGUGAAAUCCCUCGGCUCAACCGGGGAACUGCGUGUGAGACUGGAUGGCUUGAGUUUGGGAGAGGAAUGCGGAAUUCCAGGUGUAGCGGUGAAAUGCGUAGAUAUCUGGAAGAACACCCGUGGCGAAGGCGGCUCUCUGGGACGGUACUGACGCUGAGACGCGAAAGCGUGGGGAGCGAACAGG
rnacentral:rRNA from 1 species